AACGGCCAUACCAUGCUGAAUAUACCGGUUCUCGUUAGAUCACCGAAGUCAAGCAUCAUUGGGCGCGGUCAGUACUUGGGUGGGUGACUACCUGGGAACACCGCGUGCCGUU
rnacentral:rRNA from 2 species